AUCCCUCUACUCUAGCAGGAAUCCAAGAAGGAAAUAAUAUGUUGAAAACACUCUUUCUACUAAGCCUUAUCCUGCUAACCUCCACUCUGUCUGUUGAGAAAAGAGGAGUUGAGGACUGUCACUAUAGAGGUGUGUCUCACCCCCUUGGUAGCAGCUGGUGUGAUCCGUUGCGGUGUGGCUUCUGUCGGUGUGAUGGCCAACUUGCUGUUUCGUGUGACAAUACGUCAUGCGACGGAGUAAAAGGAGAAGAAUUCUGCUCAAGACACGGAUAGAAAGUCAAACUCCACAUUCCAAAAUUCAAUGAACGCGUCCUAUACUUUGAUUAAAAAAGCUGUUAAAACAUUUUUGUAAUAAUUCUAGAUUCUAAUAGUGACAUAAUUUAGAGAUUUAACAAUAUUUUCAAAAAGUUGAUAACUUGAGUUUUGAUGAAAA